rnacentral:lncRNA from 1 species
AUCAGUAUUCCAAGAAUACAAACAGAAGAGGUGCGAAAACUUCUUCCUUACGAAUGAAUCUUUUUCAAGAUCAUUCUUACAAUCAAAUCUAGAUACUAAAAGAAAAAUAUUAAAAAUUCUAGAUUUCAAAGAUGUACUCGUGAGGAGUACGUAAAGAACUUAUGAAUGAAUCACUAUCUUGAUCAUUCUUACAACCAAGUCUAGAAACAUAUAUACUAAACAAUCUAGACUACAAAGAAUGUACUUAUGAGAAGUACGUAAAGAAUGUACUCAUAAGGAGUACGUAAAGAAUGUACUCACGAAGAGUACAAACAACCGAUUCUAAAACCUAACUAAAACACUCGUGUAUUCUCUUCAGCC